GUCUACAGCCAUACCACCCUGUACGCGCCCGAGCUUGUCUGAUCUCGGAAGCUAAGCAGGGUCGGGCCUGGUUAGUACUUGGAUGGGAGAAAAGAGACAAGGACUUUGUUGAAU
rnacentral:rRNA from 1 species